GAUGAAGAACGUAGCGAAAUGCGACAAGUAAUGUGAAUUGCAGAAUUCAGUGAAUCAUCGAGUCUUUGAACGCACAUUGCGCCCCCUGGUAUUCCGGGGGGCAUGCCUGUCCGAGCGUCAUUGCUGCCCUCAAGCACGGCUUGUGUGUUGGGCUCCGUCCCCCCGGGGACGGGCCCGAAAGGCAGCGGCGGCACCGAGUCCGGUCCUCGAGCGUAUGGGGCUUUGUCACCCGCUCUGUAGGCCCGGCCGGCGCCAGCCGACAACCCAUCAUCCUUUUCAGGUUGACCUCGGAUCAGGUAGGGAUACCCGCUGAACUUAAGCAUAUCAAUAAGCGGAGGA
rnacentral:misc_RNA from 1 species